rnacentral:rRNA from 4 species
CAGACCUCUAAUCGGAAAAGACUACCCGCUGAGUUUAAGCAUAUCACUAAGCGGAGGAGAAGAAACUAACCAGGAUUUCC